GUUCCGUAGUGAAGUAAUCAUGUUGAAUUGCAAAUUCAAAGAAGCAGCUUUGACGCUGCCGGGGCUU
rnacentral:tRNA from 1 species